rnacentral:rRNA from 1 species
AGAGUUGAUUAUGGCUCAGAACGAACGCUGGCAGCGUGGAUUAGGCAUGCAAGUCGAACGGGAUCCGGAAGGUAGCAAUAUCGGCCGGUGAGAGUGGCGGAAGGGCGAGGAGCACGUGGACAACCUGUCCAGAGGACGGGGAAAACCUCGGGAAACUGAGGCUAAUACCCGAUGCGCCGGGAGUUGGGCAUCCAUCUUCCGGCAAAGGGGGCGAGAGCUCCCGCCUCACGAAGGGUCCGCGCACCAUCAGCUUGUUGGCGGGGUGACGGCCCACCAAGGCUCACGGUUAGCUGGUCUGAGAGGAUGACCAGCCGCACUGGGACUGAGAUACUGCCCAGACUCCUACGGGAGGCUGCAGUCGAGGAUCAUUCGCAAUGGGGGAAACCCUGACGAUGCGACGCUGCGUGGAGGAUGGAGGCCUUCGGGUUGUAAACUCCUGUCAUGGGGGAAGAGGCGGAGGGACCCAACACGUCCCCGAGUUGACGGUACCCCAAGAGGAAGCGACGGCUAACUCUGUGCCAGCCGCGGC